rnacentral:rRNA from 1 species
AUUGAACGCUGGCGGCAUGCCUUACACAUGCAAGUCGAACGGCAGCAUGGAAGAGCUUGCUCUUCUGAUGGCGAGUGGCGAACGGGUGAGUAAAGCAUCGGAACGUACCGUGUAAUGGGGGAUAACGUAGCGAAAGUUACGCUAAUACCGCAUACGACCUGAGGGUGAAAGCAGGGGAUCGCAAGACCUUGCGUUAUACGAGCGGCCGAUGUCAGAUUAGCUAGUUGGUAGGGUAAAGGCCUACCAAGGCGACGAUCUGUAGCGGGUAUGAGAGGAUGAUCCGCCACACUGGGACUGAGACACGGCCCAGACUCCGACGGGAGGCAGCAGUGGGGAAUUUUGGACAAUGGGGGCAACCCUGAUCCAGCCAUGCCGCGUGAGUGAAGAAGGCCUUCGGGUUGUAAAGCUCUUUCGGCCGGGAAGAAAUCGCACAGGCUAAUACCCUGUGUGGAUGACGGUACCGGCAUAAGAAGCACCGGCUAACUACGUGCCAGCAGCCGCGGUAA